CUCUCGGUCUCUUCCUCUCGAAGCUUCCCCUCCCGCAGCCUCUAUCGCUCCGCCUCGAUCUAGCCCAGCGCCGCCCCUUCCUCCGGCGCUGCCCCUGCUUCCGGCGCCGCCUCCUCCCCGCCCUCCCCCUCCUCCCCCACACGCGCCAUGCGGCGCGCACCAGCCUGCGCCGACGGACAACGACGGCGCGCCCCAACCCCGUUGCCUCCGCUCAGCGUCGUGUGAUGUCCGCCCUACGUCAAUCGGCAUGCUGGCGCAAACGCCAGCACCAACUCCGCCUCCAUCUCGCUGCGUGAUAAUUUGUCCAAGGAUCCAAUCCUGCUUCCACCGCUUCGGUAGAUUUUCCCAUGUUUGAUAAUCUGCUUUGUUCUGUGUCCAUGGACCCACAGGCCGCAGCAAUGUUGGUAGUAUGCUCUCCCUCGCCCAGCACCUCCAGUCGCGCAACCCCGCUGCAGCAACCUUGAAAUUGCUUAAAUGAGUUGUCGUGGAGGUUGUGAAAAGGAUGAGUUAUCCCUAGUAGCAGAUAUACUGGCUCAGGAUAUUCAUUAGCUUCCCAUGAGGAACUAAAGGAAGGAAGACAGAUAAGCCGUGUUGAGCUCUAUAGCAACACAUACAGAACAAAUGGGCAGCCAAUUGAUGACUAAAGCUUUGAAAAAAUGAUGAAAUCCGAAGAAGAUUAUAAGAAGACCCUUCGGCUUUUUAGAUGCUGGCCCUGCCAUUUUAAGUAUUUUAGGCCUUCAAAUUUCAUUGCUUUCUUACCUCAACUUAUAGCCUUUGGAAGUUCAAUCCAUGUCCCAUGCGUUGACUAGCCAUUGUUUUUUUAUUCCCAUGAUUUAACAUUGCUUUGAGGUAAGAGAUAGCUUCUUUUUUUGGACUAGUUUGGAUCGAACAGAUAGCUUCUUAUAAUUCUUAUAUUACAUUGUCCCUUAGAAAGCACCUUGGUAUUUUGAUGGCCUGAGCCUCUUGUGGGGUAAUUGCUUCCUCACUAUGGCUUCUCAUAGCUCAGUCACCACCUCGCAGGCACACUUCACUGCUUGUGUGUAAGCAAAUCACACUGUGCUUUCUACAAGGCUCAGCACACACAUACUUAAUUAAUUUCUUCAGAAUCAUGAUGAGUUAAAUACU